CGGGGUGCAGCAGGCGCGAAAACUUUACAAUGCCGGCAACGGCGAUAAGGGAACCUCGAGUGCCAGGUUACAAAUCUGGCUGUCGUGAUGCCUAAAAAGCAUUGCAUAGCAAGGGCCGGGCAAGACCGGUGCCAGCCGCCGCGGUAACACCGGCGGCUCGAGUGGUAACCGUUAUUAUUGGGUCUAAAGGGUCUGUAGCCGGCCGGAUAAGUCUCUUGGGAAAUCUGGCAGCUUAACUGUCAGGCUUUCAGGAGAUACUGUCUGGCUCGAGGCCGGGAGAGGUGAGAGGUACUUCAGGGGUAGGGGUGAAAUCUUGUAAUCCUUGAAGGACCACCAGUGGCGAAGGCGUCUCACCAGAACGGACCUGACGGCAAGGGACGAAAGCUAGGGGCACGAACCGGAUUAGAUACCCGGGUAGUCCUAGCCGUAAACGAUACUCGCUAGGUGUCGGCCACGGUGCGACCGUGGUCGGUGCCGUAGGGAAGCCGUGAAGCGAGCCACCUGGGAAGUACGGCCGCAAGGCUGAAACUUAAAGGAAUUGGCGGGGGAGCACAAGGGCGAUUCG
rnacentral:rRNA from 1 species